AGUGGAAGCGUCUGGAAAGGCGCGCGAUACAGGGUGACAGCCCCGUACACAAAAGCGCAUGUGCUGUGAGCUCGAUGAGUAGGGCGGGACACGUGGUAUCCUGUCUGAAUAUGGGGGGACCAUCCUCCAAGGCUAAAUACUCCUGACUGACCGAUAGUGAACCAGUACCGUGAGGGAAAGGCGAAAAGAACCCCGGCGAGGGGAGUGAAAAAGAACCUGAAACCGUGUACGUACAAGCAGUGGGAGCCCCACCACCAAAGCAUUCUCUGGUGUUGAAGGCCCUGCAAAGCAGCAUCGCGGUGGCGGAGCGUCGUUUGCGACGCCCAACACACAAAACAAGCGGUGAAUGCUUUGGGGUGGGGUGACUGCGUACCUUUUGUAUAAUGGGUCAGCGACUUAUAUUCUGUAGCAAGGUUAACCGAAUAGGGGAGCCGGAGGGAAA
rnacentral:rRNA from 1 species